rnacentral:rRNA from 1 species
UUAAGAAGCAAUUCUGCCUAGCUGAUCUCAGAAGCUAAGCAAGGUCAGGCCUGGUUAGUACUUGGAUGGGUGACCACCUAGGAAGACCAGAUGCUGUAGAUA